rnacentral:rRNA from 1 species
UACGGGGGGGGUAAGCGUUGUUCGGAAUUACUGGGCGUAAAGGGCUCGUAGGCGGCCAACUAAGUCGGACGUGAAAUCCCUCAGCUUAACUGGGGAACUGCGUCCGAUACUGGAUGGCUUGGAUUUGGGAGAGGAAUGCGGAAUUCCAGGUGUAGCGGUGAAAUGCGUAGAUAUCUGGAGGAACACCGGUGGCGAAGGCGGCAUUCUGGACCAAUAUUGACGCUGAGGAGCGAAAGCCAGGGGAGCAAACGGG